rnacentral:rRNA from 1 species
CGUAAAGCGCACGUAGGCGGAUCGGAAAGUUGGGGGUGGAAAUACCCGGGGCUCAACCCCGGAACUGCCUCCAAAACUAAUCGGUCUAGAGUUCGAGAGAGGUGAGUGGAAUUCCGAGUGUAGAGGUGAAAUUCGUAGAUAUUCGGAGGAACACCAGUGGCGAAGGCGGCUCACUGGCUCGAUACUGACGCUGAGGUGCGAAAGUGUGGGGAGCAAACAGGAUUAGAUACCCUGGUAG